AGCAGCCGCGGUAAUUCCAGCUCCAAUAGCGUAUAUUAAAGUUGUUGCAGUUAAAAAGCUCGUAGUUGAAUUUCGGGAUCAAUAUAUCGGUCGUGCCUUGGUACGUACUGGUAUCAUUGGUUUCUCCUUUCUGACGAACCAUGAUGUCAUUAAUUUGGUGUUAUGGGAAGUUAGGACUGUUACUUUGAAAAAAUUAGGGUGUUUAAAGCAGGCUUUAGCUUGAAUACAUUAGCAUGGAAUAAUGAAAUAGGACGUUCGAACCUAUUUUGUUGGUUUCUAGGAUCAACGUAAUGAUUAAUAGGGAUAGUUGGGGGCAUUAGUAUUCAAUUGUCAGAGGUGAAAUUCUUGGAUUUAUUGAAGACUAACUACUGCGAAAGCAUUUGCCAAGGAUGUUUUCAUUAAUCAAGAACGAAAGUUAGGGGAUCGAAGACGAUCAGAUACCGUCGUAGU
rnacentral:rRNA from 1 species